CCCUUCGGGGUGCUCGAGUGGCGAACGGGUGAGUAACACGUGGGUGAUCUGCCCUGCACUUUGGGAUAAGCCUGGGAAACUGGGUCUAAUACCGGAUAGGACCACGGUCUGCAUGGAUUGUGGUGGAAAGCUUUUGCGGUGUGGGAUGGGCCCGCGGCCUAUCAGCUUGUUGGUGGGGUGAUGGCCUACCAAGGCGACGACGGGUAGCCGGCCUGAGAGGGUGACCGGCCACACUGGGACUGAGAUACGGCCCAGACUCCUACGGGAGGCAGCAGUGGGGAAUAUUGCACAAUGGGCGCAAGCCUGAUGCAGCGACGCCGCGUGAGGGAUGACGGCCUUCGGGUUGUAAACCUCUUUCAGCACAGACGAAGCGCAAGUGACGGUAUGUGCAGAAGAAGGACCGGCCAACUACGUGCCAGCAGCCGCGGUAAUACGUAGGGUCCGAGCGUUGUCCGGAAUUACUGGGCGUAAAGAGCUCGUAGGUGGUUUGUCGCGUUGUUCGUGAAAACUCACAGCUUAACUGUGGGCGUGCGGGCGAUACGGGCAGACUGGAGUACUGCAGGGGAGACUGGAAUUCCUGGUGUAGCGGUGGAAUGCGCAGAUAUCAGGAGGAACACCGGUGGCGAAGGCGGGUCUCUGGGCAGUAACUGACGCUGAGGAGCGAAAGCGUGGGGAGCGAACAGGAUUAGAUACCCUGGUAGUCCACGCCGUAAACGGUGGGUACUA
rnacentral:rRNA from 1 species